CAGGAGCCGCUCCUUGUCCGUGCCCCCUGCACCAUGCUUCUUGCACCGGCGAUCACUCCCUGCCCUCGUCAGUGCCCGGGUGUCACAUCACCCACGAUAAGAUCACCCACUAUAACAUCACCCACGAUAACAUCAACCACGAUAACUUCACCCACGAUAACAUCUCCUACUCUAAGACCUUCUACGAUAAGAUCACCAACGAUAAGACCUUCUACGAUAAGAUCACCCGGGA
rnacentral:lncRNA from 1 species